CUAAGGUAGCGAAAUUCCUUGUCGGGUAAGUUCCGACCUGCACGAAUGGCGUAACGACUUCCCCGCUGUCUCCAACAUCGACUCAGCGAAAUUGAAUUGCCGGUCAAGAUGCCGGCUACCCGCGGUUAGACGGAAAGACCCCGUGCACCUUUACUACAGCUUCGCACUGGCUUCAGGCACAGCAUGUGCAGGAUAGGUGGUAGGCUUCGAAGCAGGGACGCCAGUCCCUGUGGAGCCUCCCUUGAGAUACCACCCUUGCUCUGCUUGAAGUCUAACCGCGGCCCGUUAUCCGGGUCCGGGACCCUGCGUGGUGGGUAGUUUGACUGGGGCGGUCGCCUCC
rnacentral:rRNA from 1 species